UUACAGCCAUAUCAUGUUGAAACACCCGUUCCUCUAUGAUCACUGAAAUUAAGCAAUGUUGAGCCUGGUCAGUACCUAGAAGAGUGACUGCUUGGAAAUACCAGGUGCUGCAA